UUCCCCACCCCAUCCACCGGCCGCCGCUGGUCAGGAGUCGCCUCGCCUUCGCCGUCGUCUCCAUCGCGCGUCAGUCGUGGAGAAGACGAAGGGAGUCCAGCAGGGGCGAGGGGGAGGGCGACGACGGAUCGAUGCCGUCCCCACCCCUUCGUCUCGGCCUCCGAUAGCGGCAGCGGCAUCGACGGAGCCGGAGCUCCGACGAAGCAGGUCUGCUGAUCCGCUGCUACUCGGAUCUGCUCAAGCUCAAGCUUCUCUGUCGCUGUCGACUGCCAGCCGAUUGAGGCUAGGGCUAGGGCCCGUGAGGAGAAAGCCGUCCGCUAGAACUUGAUGUAAUAUGAGAACUUGAACUGUGAUGUAAAAACAUUGAACUAUAUGGAGCUUGGCUGGCUGUACUCUUUUGUUGCUUGAUUA